rnacentral:rRNA from 1 species
CCUACGGGUGGCAGCAGUGAGGAAUAUUGGUCAAUGGACGCGAGUCUGAACCAGCCAAGUAGCGUGAAGGAUGACUGCCCUAUGGGUUGUAAACUUCUUUUAUAUGGGAAUAAAAUGUUCCACGUGUGCGUUUUUGUAUGUACUUUAUGAAUAAGGAUCGGCUAACUCCGCGCCAGCAGCCGCGGUAAUACGGAGGAUCCGAGCGUUAUCCGGAUUUAUUGGGUUUAAAGGGAGCGUAGAUGGGUUGUUAAGUCAGUUGUGAAAGUUUGCGGCUCAACCGUAAAAUUGCAAUUGAUACUGGCAGUCUUGAGUACAGUUGAGGUAGGCGGAAUUCGUGGUGUAGCGGUGAAAUGCUUAGAUAUCACGAAGAACUCCGAUUGCGAAGGCAGCUUACUAGACUGCCACUGACACUGAUGCUCGAAAGUGUGGGUAUCAAACAGGAUUAGAUACCCGAGUAGUC